rnacentral:rRNA from 1 species
CGGAGUGCGGACCGGGUGAGUAAUGUCUGGGAAACUGCCCGAUGGAGGGGAUAACUACUGGAAAACGGUAGCUAAUACCGCAUAACGUCGCAAGACCAAAGAGGGGGACCUUCGGGCCUCUUGCCAUCGGAUGUGCCCAGAUGGGAUUAGCUAGUAGGUGGGGUAACGGCUCACCUAGGCGACGAUCCCCAGCUGGUCUGAGAGGAUGACCAGCCACACUGGAACUGAGACACGGUCCCAG